CCACGACGGCUGGUCCCGCCUCUGUCCAGACCUGAACUGCCUGGUGAGAGGGGCUCAGACACGGAGCAGCACGAACACGGUGCGUCUGGGCACAGGGACGGCACGCCCACCUUUCGGUCCCGGUGCGGUGCGUGUGCAGCCAACUCCGUGCACCCUCUUCAGGAAGAGCAACCAGAGGAGAAGAAAAUAAAAGUGCGUCCUGCCAAUCAACACAGCACUUCAGAGGACUAGACCACAUCGUUCUGAAGCCACCAGCAUGGAGCAGGUCCAGAGCCAGCCGCCCCCUCACUGAUGACAACCAAGAGCUCAGGACAGAACAGAGAAGCCGGUGUCCAUGGAUUCUAGAGCGAGCAGCAGCGCACAGACUGGGGAUGGAAGUCAGGACUGGACGAGUGACCAGCAUGGCAGUGACCUGGUGGGUCCCCGCCUGCAUCUAAGCUCUGUCCUAAAGGUGUUAGCCCUGAAAACCACCCAGUUCUGUGAAGGGUCCACGCAGUGCAUGAAGAGCUUCUGAGAGAAACCAGAGCUUCCCACUAAAGGACAGGGAAGGUGGCAGAAUCCAGCACAAGAUGUGCUGAUGGUGAGCUGGGGCUAUGAGAGCGCACCCUGGAGGCCACCUCGGGCUCUGCGCCACGCUGGUGCUGAGGUCAGCCCUGCAGACACUGAGACAGGACUCACAGACUUAAUAGGUGGUGUCACCCUCUGCUGUGUAGUGGUGGGGAGACAGACUACACAACCCCGUUUGGAAAGGAGAAAGGGCAGCACAUCCAUAGGCAGCUUCAUCCGAAGUUCGGAGGGAGAAUCUGAUUGAAUGUGAACAGGCACAGAGGUCAAGCAGAAGAAGGCCAGAGUCCUGGAGCCUGGCCUGCAGCCCUGCCCCGCCCCGCCCUGGAUUUUAGAUUGGAGAACAAGCUCAUUUUGGCAAAUAAAUGGAUUUUUCUU